rnacentral:rRNA from 1 species
UACGUAGGCAGCGAGCGUUGUUCGGAGUUACUGGGCGUAAAGGGUGUGUAGGCGGUUCUUUUAAGUUUGGCGUGAAAUCUCCCGGCUCAACCGGGAGGGUGCGUCGAAUACUGAGGGACUAGAGUACGGGAGAGGAAAGUGGAAUUCCUGGUGUAGCGGUGGAAUGCGCAGAUAUCAGGAGGAACACCAACGGCGAAGGCAGCUCGCUGGGACGGUACUGACGCUAAGGCGCGAAAGCGUGGGGAGCGAACAGG